UAUUUGAAAAGGAAAACGUAA
rnacentral:piRNA from 1 species